CACCAGAAGAUAUUUUCUCUUAAUGCAACUUGCUAGUUUGUGUGCCAAGCUCUCGUUUCAAUUAAAAAGAGCAACUGUCAGACUACAGUACAGUCUCUAAUAUAAUCCUGCCUACUCUAGGUAUGAUAUAUGCAAAUGUAAAUCCCCAGUAUACCAGAAAUCAAGUAGUUCUGCAGAGCUUUAUACAAAAAACGUGCGCUCAUUCCUCAUCCGCCACUCGUACUAAAACUAAACAAAAGAGCAAUGCAAUCAUACAAUUUCCAAAAGCAUGUCAUCUCUUUUACCCUGGCUGAAGAUUGAACUGAUCAUUACCAUAAAAUACUGUUGAUAAUGGGUAGUCAAGUUUAUGAGAUCAAACUAAUUACUCCAAAGAUUUCCAUUUGUUUAAUCAAACUCCUCUUCAUCGUCAGUGCCACCACCAAACAUGGCAGACAUUUUCAUCGCGUCCGCCAGCCAUUUCUCUCCUUUGGAAAUCAGGCAUAAACCUCAUGUUGUCACGCAUAUUUCCAAUCUCAGACAUCAACUGCUCUAAAUCCUCGAAGUCAAAAGGUGUAACCUCAUUUGUUUCUGUGUCUUUGUUAGGAUCUACUACUUUGGACACCACUUCCUUGUCAUCCUGCAAUGCUA
rnacentral:misc_RNA from 1 species